AUUGAACGCUGGCGGCAGGCUUAACACAUGCAAGUCGAGCGGGGUGAUGGUGCUUGCACUAUCACUUAGCGGCGGACGGGUGAGUAAUGCUUAGGAAUCUGCCUAUUAGUGGGGGACAACAUCUCGAAAGGGAUGCUAAUACCGCAUACGUCCUACGGGAGAAAGCAGGGGAUCACUUGUGACCUUGCGCUAAUAGAUGAGCCUAAGUCGGAUUAGCUAGUUGGUGGGUAAAGGCCUACCAAGGCGACGAUCUGUAGCGGGUCUGAGAGGAUGAUCCGCCACACGGGGACUGAGACACGGCCCAGACUCCUACGGGAGGCAGCAGUGGGGAAUAUUGGACAAUGGGGGGAACCCUGAUCCAGCCAUGCCGCGUGUGUGAAGAAGGCCUUAUGGUUGUAAAGCACUUUAAGCGAGGAGGAGGCUCUUUUGGUUAAUACCCAAGAUGAGUGGACGUUACUCGCAGAAUAAGCACCGGCUAACUCUGUGCCAGCCGCCGCGGUAA
rnacentral:rRNA from 1 species